UACGUAGGCAGUGAGCGUUGUUCGGAGUUACUGGGCGUAAAGAGUGCGUAGGCGGUUUUCUAAGUUUGGUGUGAAAUCUCCCGGCUUAACUGGGAGGGUGCGCCGAAGACUGGAAGGCUUGAGUAUGGGAGAGGUAAGCGGAAUUCCUGGUGUAGCGGUGAAAUGCGUAGAUAUCAGGAGGAACACCUGCGGUGUAGACGGCUUACUGGACCAUAACUGACGCUGAGGCACGAAAGCGUGGGUAGCAAACAGG
rnacentral:rRNA from 1 species